CAUAGCUAGAAUCUAAGGUCGAUGACGGCCUCUGUCAAACCCUUGCCGUUCGAUUUGGUCAAGAAGCUUCUCUUCCAGCUCUUGAAGGGCGUCGACGACUGUCAUGAUAACAGCAUCCUCACUGGAACCUAAACCUAAGAAUCUGCUGCUUGAUAAGAAACAACAAAGCCUCAAGAUUGGUGAUGGGAUCAGUCAGUCUUUCGCUUUCUUCUAUGAGUCUUUUGUGCCAGAGGUUUUGCUUGGAUUCACAGAUUACUCGACUCCGAAGGACAUUUGGGCCGUCAGUUGCAUCUUCGCUGAGAUGGCAUGGUAACUGGGGAUGUACAGUUGAUUGGAAUUACUAAGAUUCUCCCAGGUGGGGCUUUGGGGAUUUGAAUAAAAACUCCUUUACUGGGAUUUAUAGCUUUCUAGCAAAUGGGUUCGACAUGAAGCCCAGCAUCCUUCAUGGAACUUGUUCUUAGCAAAUGGGUUUGCACAUUUCUAUUAUGCUCUUGGCUCAUCUUCUCUCCAGUAUACUCAGUGGUGGGAUUACAUGGUGACUCUAAAGUGAGAGCAGAAUAUUUGGGAGGGUGGUUGGUAGUGGAAGGUUGGAUCAAGCCUUCACUUUUUGAUGGCAUUCCCAAUGGAGAUAUGCUUGAUGGAACAGUGGUACAACUAAAGUCGGUAACUUUGGAUAAGUAUGUCUUUGCAGAAAAUGGGGGAGGGGCCAAUGUCUCUGUUAGUAGAGAUGUUGCAUCUUCAUGGGAAACGCUGAGGGAAUAAGAAGAAAGAAUGAAAUCCAAUCCAGACCUGUAUUUUAACUGUGCUAUUAUUGGUUGUAUUAAUGUCAUUAUGCCCCAGCUUUUCACGUGUGAUUUCUGUUGUUUCCAGACUUGAGUCUUCUAUGUCUGAAAAGCAUCACAAAUGGAUGAGAAGACAUUGGAUUUCACUUUUGUUUCAUACACUAUCAAUUCGAUGUUUGAAAUUGCAAACCACUCAGCUUCAACUUUACAAAUUUCACACCAUGGCUGCACAAACCAAGUUCCUAGAAUGGUGCGAAGACGAGUUUGUAUCAAUAUGUUGGCUGCACAAACUAAGUUCUUGCACAAACUAUACAUGUGGCAUGUUUUGGAAUAAUGUG